GGGGUUGUAGCUUAGUGGUAGAGCACUCACCUAGCAUGUGUGAGGUACUGGGUUCGAUCCUCAACAUCA
rnacentral:tRNA from 1 species